GCAUAUCAAUAAGCGGAGGAAAAGAAACUAACAAGGAUUCCCCUAGUAACGGCGAGUGAAGCGGGAAGAGCUCAAAUUUGUAAUCUGGCACUUUCAGUGUCCGAGUUGUAAUCUCGAGAAGUAUUUUCCGCGCCGGACCGCAUACAAGUCUGUUGGAAUACAGCGUCAUAGUGGUGAGAACCCCGUAACUGAUGCGGAUGCCCGGUGCUUUGUGAUAUACUUUCGAAGAGUCGAGUUGUUUGGGAAUGCAGCUCAAAUUGGGUGGUAAAUUCCAUCUAAAGCUAAAUAUUGGAGCAAGACCGAUAGCGAACAAGUACCGUGAGGGAAAGAUGAAAAGCACUUUGGAAAGAGAGUUAACAGUACGUGAAAUUGUUGGAAGGGAAACGCUUGAAGUCAGACUUGCUAUUCGGAGUUCAGCCGCAAGGUGUAUUCUUCGAUUUGCAGGCCAGCAUCAGUUUUUGGGGGUGGAAAAUCGUGGUUUGAAGGUAGCAGUUUCGGCUGUGUUAUAGCUUUCCACUGGAUUCAUCUUCGGGGACUGAGGAACGCAGUACGCUUUUUGCAAGGCUUUCGAGCUUUUCGUACUUAGGAUGCUGGUGGAAUGGCUUUAAACGACCCGUCUUGAAACACGGACCA
rnacentral:rRNA from 1 species